rnacentral:lncRNA from 1 species
UUUGUUUUGUCUACUGCAGCCGGUUUGGACGUAAUUUUUUUUUUCUUUUUUGCCUUACCUGUGUGAAUAAAAAGCUUAAAAUCCCAACUCCUGUCCAUGUAGGGUCACCACCACUACUGCAAGGCCCUGGCCCUGCUGGGGAGGCACGAGCAGGCUCUGGAAGCAAACGAGAGAGCUCAGGAGCUCUGCAGGGACGUCCCCGACGGGCUCAAGGAACUUGUUCAACAGCAUCACAAGCUGAAAAGGACCUUAGAAGAAAUUAAUGGUACUAAACAACGUAAACAGAAGGCAAAGAAGUCUCUGCUUGAGAAAAAAGACUGCAGUUCUUCAAAACCUCACAGAAUAACCUCUCAGGAGCAAAAAGAAUUAGAAAAGAUCAGAAAGAGAACUCAGGCUGAUCCUAAAGGUCCUCAAAAACACGAUCCCAAGAUGACUGACACCCAAAGACCAGAAAGCAAAGUUUCCACGCUGGAGUUGCCACAAAUGGAAGAGAUGAGCAGCAGAGGGCCUGUGGCGGGACCCACCCGGUCAGUGAUAACCACGGGAUUAUGAGGGAUUCCUUGGCUCCAGGGAACUCCAGGGACAUUUGGAGUUCUGCUCACCUGGCAGCAAGACCAAAUCAUGCCAAUGCCUUUGGAAUGUGGUAAGAGAGAGAUCUGUUCAUCCCCUUGGCUCCGCCAGCAAUGUGGAGGUUUGGGAGAACCCCCUUUGCUUUUCUAAAU